rnacentral:lncRNA from 1 species
AAACAAGAAGUAAUUGUAACAGGAUGCUGUUACGAAGUCUCCCAAACAAAGCUCCCAUAACUCGCCAUUCAUAUGUUCAUUUGAUUUGAUUUUUUGUCCCAUACAAGAAUAUAUAUGGCUUACGAGUAGGGAUCUCCACCAUUUACAAGUAUUCAAACAGGAGGGGGUGGUGGUGACCCCCAGGGAAGUUACCUACAUUUCAUUUGAUUUGUUUUAUUGCCCCCUACAAGAAUAUAUAUGGUUUAAGGGUGGGGAUCUGGACCGUUUACAAAAUAAUAGCACAUUCUCAAAUUGAACGGGGUGGGGCGACCCCCAGG